rnacentral:rRNA from 1 species
UACGUAGGGGGCAAGCGUUGUCCGGAUUUAUUGGGCGUAAAGAGCGUGUAGGCGGCUUGGUAGGUCCGCUGUGAAAACUCGAGGCUCAACCUCGAGACGCCGAUGGAAACCAUCUGACUAGAGUCCGGAAGAGGAGAGUGGAAUUCCUGGUGUAGCGGUGAAAUGCGCAGAUAUCAGGAAGAACACCCGUGGCUAAGGCGGCUCUCUAGUACGGUACUGACGCUGAGACGCGAAAGCGUGGGGAGCAAACAGG